UCAUCACUAUUUUUUCACAAGUCGGUCUUGACUUCUAAGUUCUAACUAACAAUUAUUGUACAUUCUAUCUCAUAUCUAUUUUUCCUGAUGAGUUUGACUUCCAAUUUCGUGUGCCUCUUUGAAUACACUUUUCGCAUAACACCUUUGAUACACUUAGAAUUGGAAUAAUAAUGCGAAAUGGCAGAAACUGCAGUGUGGUUUGUUCUAAGGCAAGUGUACCAACUCCUGAAAGAGGAACAAACACUACUCAAAGAUGUAAGCAGAGACUUAGAACACAUAAAAAAUGAACUCGAAUUCAUUCGUGCCUUCUUAAAAGACGCAGAUCAAAGAGCCACGUCAGAUACCGAAUUAGAAAUCAAAGCUUGGGUGAAGCAAUUGAGAGAAUUAUCAUUUCGCAUAGAAGAUGUCGUCGAUCAAUACAUCAUGGAUGUGUCUCAACAUCAUCAUCAUCAUCAUCAUCAUCAUGGUGGAUACAUAGCUAAACUCCAAAACCUUGCUGGUUUAAUCAAAUUGAAAACCAUAAAACCUCGUCAUCGAGUAGCGUGUGAGAUUCAAGAUAUCAAAUUGUCAUUUCAUGAAAUCAAAGAAAGAUCUAAAAGAUACAAUUUACUUUCCUCACUUGGACCACAAGGAUCAAUUACGAAAGAUGUUGUGGCGAAGUCACGUGAUCCUGAUCGAUUGGCUUCACUUUUUAUUGAAGAAGAUGAACUUGUUGGAUUUGAGAAACCUAGGGAUGAAAUUGUUGGUUGGUUGGUGGAUGGAGAAGUGAUAGAUCGUAGUGUGAUUUCAGUAGUUGGAAUGGGGGGACUUGGGAAAACCACUCUUGCUAAAAAUGUUUUUGAUAAUCCCCAAGUGAAAGGACACUUUGAUUGUCGUGCAUUUCUUGUAGUUUCUCAAUCUUAUAAUGUUGAAGCUUUGUUGAGAAACAUGAUGAUGCAAUUUUCUGAAGAAACUAAAGAACCUCUUCCUCGAGGUACAAACACGAUGGACAAGAUGCAACUCAUUACUCUGGCAAGGUCUUACUUGCAGAGCAAAAGGUACGUAAUUUGCUUCGAUGACGUAUGGACAAUAAAUUUUUGGGAUGAAAUCCAACUUGCCACACCUGAUAACAAGAAAGGGAGUAGGAUAAUGAUCACAACCAGGAAUUUGGAUGUUUCCAACUAUUGUAGGAAAGAUUCUUGUGUUCAAAUGCACAAGUUGCAAUCCUUGCCUCCAAACAAAGCAUGGGAACUCUUUUGCAACAAGGCAUUUCGAUUUGAUUUCUAUGGAAAUUGUCCACCAGAGCUCAAAGAUAUAUCUGAAGAAAUCGUUCAAAAAUGCGAGGGGUUGCCGCUUGCAAUUGUUGCUGUAGGAGGUCUCUUGUCAACUAAAGAUAAAACUGUUUCUGAAUGGAAAAAACUAUGCCAAAAUCUAAGUUUGGAGUUAGACCGUAAUCCUCAUUUAGCUAACUUACCAAGAAUUUUAGGCCUUAGUUAUGAGGACUUGCCACAUCAUUUGAAAUCAUGUAUGUUGUAUUUUGGUAUAUACCCAGAAGAUUACUCAAUUAGGAGUUCAAGGUUGAUCCGACAAUGGAUAGCCGAGGGGUUUGUUAAACACGAAGUAGGGAAAUCUUUGGAGGAAGUUGGAGAAGAAUACUUGAUAGAGUUGAUCCAUAGAAGUUUGGUUCAUGUCUCCCGUGUUCACUAUGAUGGUAAAGCUACAAGCUGUCGAAUCCAUGAUUUGUUACGAGAAAUGAUCAUGAGAAAAAUGAAGGAUUUAAGUUUUUGUCAUGUUGUCCGUGAAGAUAAUCAGGAACACAUCUCUGAUGUAAUUGUAACGAUCAGGCGAUUGGCUGUAGAAACCAGUUCCAGCAAUGUGCUAAGGAGCAUUGAACACUUCCCUAUACGAUCCCUAUAUAUAUUCAAUGCUUUUAUAAACUUUCCUGAUUACUUUGGGAGUAAGAUCUUUGCAAAGUCUAAGCUUUUGAAAGUAUUGGACUUGGAAGGUGCUUGGUUGAACUAUGUUCCUGAUGAAAUUGGAAAUCUUUUUCACUUAAAGUACUUGAGCUUAAGAUAUACAAAUGUCAAGAAUCUUCCUAAGUCCAUUGGCAAACUACAAAAUCUAGAGACCUUGGACCUAAAGGAAACACUAGUGUGCGAAUUACCAAGUGAAAUAAAUAGGCUUUUAAAGUUGCGCCAUCUUCUAGUUUACUGCAGAAAAACAUAUUCUAGUAUCAGUGGUGAAAGUGGGGUGAAAAUGAUGGAAGGUGUUGGAGGCAUGACAGUUUUGCAGAAACUUUAUCAUAUAGAGGUAAACCAUGGUGGGUUGAACCUAAUAGCAGAGUUAAGAAAGCUGAGGCAAUUAAGGAAGUUGGGACUAAAGAAUGUAAAGAGAGAAUAUGGAAAUGCUCUUUGUGAUUCAAUAAAGGAAAUGAAUUGCCUUGAAUCUCUUCAUGUUAGUGCAAUAAAUGAACAUGAAAUCAUAGACUUGCAAUUCAUUUCAUCUCUCCCUCAACUUAGACAACUUCACUUGUUUGGUCGAUUAGAAAAGCUUCCUAAUUGGAUUUCAAGACUUGAUCAUCUUGUUAGGUUGUCAAUUCGAUUUUCCAAGUUAAAGGAUGAUCCACUCAAGUUACUUAAAGAUUUGCCAAACUUGUUGCGUCUUGCGAUUGUCUGUGAUGCUUAUGAUGGAGAAAUGUUGCACUUCCAAGUUGGGUUUAAGAAGCUGAACAACCUAUAUCUUGUGCAGUUGAAUAACUUGAAUUCAAUUUUAAUUGACAAUGGAGCUUGUCCUGCCAUUAAACUAAUUGAAAUGGUGCAUAUCCCCAAACUAAAAGAGAUUCCCACUGAUAUUCAUCUGCUAAAGAGCCUUGAAACUUUGUAUUUCAUUGAUAUGCCUUAUGAGUUUAAUCAAAGCAUUGAUCCAAAUGGUGGACCCAAAAACUGGGUCAUCCAACAUGUUCAAAAGGUAACUGUUAUAGUGAAGGUUGGUUCAACAAAUUCUUUUGACUACAACUAUCGCACUAUUUGUCAUACAAGGGGUACAUGAAUCAAGAAUAGAAAGGUAUCCUUUUUGUCUAACUAUAUAUUAUUUAGUGCAUGUUUAGAAUCACGUUGAGUUUGAUGAAAUUAUGGUGCCACCAUGAUUUUGUAUUAUUGUUGAAGCUUUAAACUGUAGAUGUUGCUAAAUUCACGGUAACACACUGUGACCUGCUAAAUUCACCGGCAGUCCAAUCAUUUACUCAGUGUAUUUGUAAAUCCUACUAGUACUUUAUAUUUAUCAAGGCUUCUCAAUGUGGAUGGAACUUGGAAGUUUCAGAUUCUCAAUAUUUAACAGCUUACAACAGGGGCAUCUAUCCUUAUUCAUUCAUCCUCGAUGCUUUUCAAUCCCCAAAUAAAGUAGUGAACUCUUGGGGCUAUACUGCUGCAAAGCAUAUUGAAUAUGAACCUUGUGAAUUUCUUCAGAUAUUUAUAAUGUAUUCCAGGAGAUUUUAUUUGUGGCUUGUGUAUGUGUAUUUUAUUAUAUGCAAUUUUUUUGGGUAUGUUGUUAUGUUUGCUAUGCACAAUUUACUCCCUCCGCCUUUUAAUAUAAGAUUCAAUUGCCUAAUUCACGGAGUAUCAAUAAUGGUGAUUAAUUUGGUUUGGCUCCCUGCCAUAUAUGAUAGUGAAGCCACAUUUUCAUGCAAUUCUUCUAUAAAGUUGAAUCAUUCAUAUAUCAACUCCCUCGUUUUGUUGUUGCUCCAUAAAUUCUUAGGCUUCUCAAUGUGGAUGGAACUUGGAAGUUUCAGAUUCUCAAUAUUUAACAGCUUACAAUAGGGGCAUCUAUCCUUAUUCAUUCAUCCUCGAUGCUUUUCAAUCCCCAAAUAAAGUAGUGAACUCUUGGGGCUAUACUGCUGCAAAGCAUAUUGAAUAUGAACCUUGUGAAUUUCUUCAGAUAUUUAUAAUGUAUUCCAGGAGAUUUUAUUUGUGGCUUGUGUAUGUGUAUUUUAUUAUAUGCAAUUUUUUUGGGUAUGUUGUUAUGUUUGCUAUGCACAAUUUACUCCCUCCGCCUUUUAAUAUAAGAUUCAAUUGCCUAAUUCACGGAGUAUCAAUAAUGGUGAUUAAUUUGGUUUGGCUCCCUGCCAUAUAUGAUAGUGAAGCCACAUUUUCAUGCAAUUCUUCUAUAAAGUUGAAUCAUUCAUAUAUCAACUCCCUCGUUUUGUUGUUGCUCCAUAAAUUCUUAGGCUUCUCAAUGUGGAUGGAACUUGGAAGUUUCAGAUUCUCAAUAUUUAACAGCUUACAAUAGGGGCAUCUAUCCUUAUUCAUUCAUCCUCGAUGCUUUUCAAUCCCCAAAUAAAGUAGUGAACUCUUGGGGCUAUACUGCUGCAAAGCAUAUUGAAUAUGAACCUUGUGAAUUUCUUCAGAUAUUUAUAAUGUAUUCCAGGAGAUUUUAUUUGUGGCUUGUGUAUGUGUAUUUUAUUAUAUGCAAUUUUUUUGGGUA